GCGGGUAUAGUAUAGUGGCUUUUUAUGCUAGCCUUCCAAGCUGGAGAGACGGGUUCGAUUCCCGUUACCCGCUCAA
rnacentral:tRNA from 1 species